UAGGGAAUCUUCCGCAAUGGACGCAAGUCUGACGGAGCAACGCCGCGUGAGUGAAGAAGGAUUUCGGUUCGUAAAACUCUGUUGUUCGAGAAGAACAGCGCAUAGAGUAACUGUUAUGCGUGUGACGGUAUCUAACCAGAAAGCCACGGCUAACUACGUGCCAGCAGCCGCGGUAAUACGUAGGUGGCAAGCGUUGUCCGGAUUUAGUGGGCGUAAAGCGAGCGCAGGCGGUCAAUUAAGUCUGAUGUGAAAGCCCCCGGCUCAACCGGGGAGGGUCAUUGGAAAGUGGUUGACUUGAGUGCAGAAGAGGAGAGUGGAAUUCCAUGUGUAGCGGUGAAAUGCGUAGAUAUAUGGAGGAACACCAGUGGCGAAGGCGACUCUCUGGUCUGUAACUGACGCUGAGGCUCGAAAGCGUGGGUAGCAAACAGG
rnacentral:rRNA from 1 species